GGCUCAGAAUGAACGCUGGCGGCGUGCCUAACAGAUGCCAGUCUAAUGUGCCGCAUGGUGCAUGGCAGACGGGUGAGUAACACCUGGGCAAUCUACCUUCUCGUGGGGAAUAACGCUCCUAACGGAUAGGUAAUACCGCAUGAGACCAACGGCUGGGAUGCUGUAGGAGAACCCUGGGGACCGCAAGGCUUGAGGCGAGAAGAGGAACCUGCGUAUGAUGAGCUAGUUGGUGGGGUAACGGCCUACCAAGGCAUCGAUCAGUAGCCGGCAUGAGAGGGUGAUCGGCCACACUGGAACUGAGACACGGUCCAGACUCCUACGGGAGGCAGCAGUGUGGAAUUUUGCGCACUGGGCGAAAGCCUGAUGCAGCAACGCCGCGUGGGUGAUGAAGGUUUUCUGAUCGUAAAACCCUGUCGUGGUGGACGAAGGUGGGGAGGUUAAUAGCUUCUAUGCUUGACGGUACCGGGAGAUGAAGCCCCGGUUAACUUUGCGCCAGCAGCCGUCGGUAAUAUAGAGGGGGCUAGCGUUAUUAGGAAUUAUUGGGUGUAAAGGGCGCGUAGGCGGUUUUUUAAGUAAGAUGUGUAAUCCCCGAGCUCAACUCGGGAAUUGCAUUUGAGACUGGAAGGCUAGAGUACUGGAGAGGGUGGUGGAAUUCCUCGUGUAGCGGUGAAAUGCGUAGAGAUGAGGAGGAACACCAGUGGCGAAGGCGGCCACCUGGACAGUAACUGACGAUGAGGCGCUAAAGUGCGGGUAGCAAACAGGAUUAGAUACCCUGGUAGUCCGCACUGUAAACGAUGAACACUUGGUGUGGAGGGAGUUGACCCCUUCCGUGCCGGAGCUAAUCGCGUUAAGUGUUCC
rnacentral:rRNA from 1 species